rnacentral:rRNA from 1 species
UCUGCUCAAUGUUUAUUUAUAAAUAGCUGCAUCAUAUGUACUAAGGUAGCAUAAUAAUUUGCCUUUUAAUUAAAGGAUUGUAUGAAAGAAAUAACAAAAAAAAUUCUGUCUCUAUAUUAUUCAUAAAAAUUAAUCUAUAAGUGAAAAAGCUUAUAUAUAAUAAAUAGACAAGAAGACCCUGUUGAGCUUUUUCUAAUAAUUAAUAUUUAGAUUUUGUUGGGGCAACAAAAAUUAUACCAACCAAUUUUAUUAUUUUAGACUAAAUCUCAUUUAUCUUAACUUAUUUUAUAAAAAUAUAAUAAGCUACCACAGGGAUAACAGGCUAAUUUUUUUAUAGAGUUCAAAUUAACAAAAAAGUUUGGCACCUCGAUGUUGGCUUAAGAUUUCAUUUAAAAGUAAUAAUUUAAAUAGUUGGUUU